GUGCUCGCUUUGGCAGCACAUGUUCUAAAAUUGGAAUGAUACAGAGAAGAUUAGCAUGGCCCCUGCACAAGGAUGACAUGCAAAUUCGUGAAGCAUUCCAUAUUUAA
ensembl:snRNA U6 U6 spliceosomal RNA